GUGGAGAUGCUAACACAAGUGUCCUGGUGUGAGUCCUCGCGUUCGAGUCCAUGGCCGGAAAAGUAUGCAUUCUUUUAAACAUACCCUCCAUGAUCCCAGUGUGAGAGGAGGAAGCACUGGCGCCCUCGUCCCAAGACACAGGCCAGUACGUGUGCCUCUCCAUAAAGCGAGCACAAAAGGUAACAACGGUGGCAAACACCGGUGCUAACCUACAAUCUUCAUGCAUUACAAUGACAACCACGAUCAAAACCAUAGCCAUGCCGAAAACUACUUCAACCACAGCCACAGCCACAGCCACACCGUCAUUAGCAAUCAUAAUGCUACACCAUAGACCUCUUCACAGCAGAGCGGAGGGGAGCGAGCAUGAACACCGCUCCUUGACCAUGUCUUAUUGUGAUUAAUCAGCAUUUCUUCAGGAAACUAGAUAUCUACCCUCUGCCUCAAUUCCCUAUCUCUAUCAACAUAUUUUAACAUCAUCUGCCUGUCAGCCUACUGUCAACACCACCGUCUACCUGUAAGCUUACUGGAAACACCACCGUCUGCCAGUCAGGCGACUGUCAAGGUUGCCCACAUGUCGACGAAUGGAUCUGAGCCACACAUCCCGGAAGCAAGUCAACCAGUGGAACCACGGCUGCCAGACACCCUACCACAGUGCAGGAGCAGCUCAAGAGGAAACACUUUAC